rnacentral:lncRNA from 1 species
AGUUGAUUGGUUAAAAUCUCACCUUUGGUGGCAGAGUGAGGAAGAGGAAACAUGAUGGUCCAGGGCUUUGAUGGCCAAAAUUACAGGCUGCUGCUCGUCACACAUUAGGGGAAGCAGGAGUGACUGUCUUUCCGUUUGGGUGGACACCAGAAAACUGCCGACGGCCAUCAAGGCUGAAACUCAACAGUUGUUACUUUCUUCAUGAAUCAGCGAAACAACAGAUUGCAGAGAAUUCAUUUCCCUCCAUGGCACUGGCAUGUGGCACCAGAGCUGCUUCUCUCUCUUCACUGAAAACAGGCACUGACUUACUCUGCAAGGCUGUGAAGAGAAGAAUCUCAGCUCCAGUGUAGAAAAAUACAGAAUACGUGAGCACUUCCACGGGUGAGCCUGCCUCAGACCACUUCCCUCCAGACAGCAUAAAGCAGAUGCAGGCUGCUCUGUCAGAAAUAGAACCAUUCCUUGCCUCCUUGCCGUUGCAAACCCAUUAACCAUAAAUCUAACAGGGAUAAGAACAGAUAUUUUUCCUAUUAAAGCAACUCUUUGGUCAUGGACAAACUGAAAGAUUUGAAAUUUUUUUUCAUUAGGGUCCCGGAACAAGAUUUACAAGAUUUCUUUGUUUUUAAUCUUUAAAAAAAUUAAGAAGAGCAGAAAAACAGUUGGUUUAAUUGAAGUGGAAUUUAAAUCUAAAUGGUCCGCCUGAGCUGAAGGGAUUGAACCCUUGCCAUGAGUUCCAGCUUCUGUGGAAAGGGUUGCCGCCGCCUCCUUGCUGGCUCUCUGCAUCCAAGGGAUCUUCUCCGUCGUCAAACUUUUUUCUCAUUUCUAG